rnacentral:misc_RNA from 1 species
AACCAUUCUCACCUGCGGCUAGACCUGCGGAAGGAUCAUUACCGAGUUUACAACUCCCAAACCCCUGUGAACAUACCUAUACGUUGCCUCGGCGGAUCAGCCCGCGCCCCGUAAAACGGGACGGCCCGCCCGAGGACCCCUAAACUCUGUUUUUAGUGGAACUUCUGAGUAAAACAAACAAAUAAAUCAAAACUUUCAACAAUGGAUCU